UACGGGGGGGCAAGCGUUGUUCGGAAUUACUGGGCGUAAAGGGCUCGUAGGCGGCCAACUAAGUCAGACGUGAAAUCCCUCGGCUUAACCGGGGAACUGCGUCUGAUACUGGAUGGCUUGAGUUUGGGAGAGGGAUGCGGAAUUCCAGGUGUAGCGGUGAAAUGCGUAGAGAUGGGGAGAACACUCGUGGCGAAGGCGGCCAGCUAGACCAGUUCUGACACUGAGGCGCGACAGCGUGGGGAGCAAACAGG
rnacentral:rRNA from 1 species